rnacentral:tRNA from 2 species
GCGACACUAGCUCAGUUGGUAGAGCGCAACCUUGCCAGGGUUGAGGUCACGAGUUCGAACCUCGUGUGUCGCUCCA